AACGAACGCUGGCGGCAGGCCUAACACAUGCAAGUCGAGCGAGGGGCAACCCUAGCGGCGGACGGGUGAGUAACGCGUGGGUACGUACCCUUUGGUUCGGAAUAGCCCUUGGAAACGGGGAGUAAUACCGGAUACGGUCGAGAGACGAAAGAUUUAUCGCCGAAGGAUCGGCCCGCGUUGGAUUAGGUAGUUGGUGGGGUAAUGGCCUACCAAGCCGACGAUCCAUAGCUGGUUUGAGAGGAUGAUCAGCCACACUGGGACUGAGACACGGCCCAGACUCCUACGGGAGGCAGCAGUGGGGAAUCUUAGACAAUGGGCGCAAGCCUGAUCUAGCCAUGCCGCGUGAGCGAUGAAGGCCUUAGGGUUGUAAAGCUCUUUCAGUGGGGAAGAUAAUGACUGUACCCACAGAAGAAGCCCCGGCUAACUCCGUG
rnacentral:rRNA from 1 species